rnacentral:misc_RNA from 1 species
GAUGAAGAACGUAGCGAAAUGCGAUACUUGGUGUGAAUUGCAGAAUCCCGUGAACCAUCGAGUCUUUGAACGCAAGUUGCGCCCGAAGCCACUAGGCCGAGGGCACGCCUGCCUGGGCGUCACACGUCGUUGCCCCCCCAUCUACUCCUUCGGGAUUGCGGGGGGCGGAUGAUGGCCUCUCGUGCGCCUCGUCGCGCGGUUGGCCUAAAUGCCAAGUCCUCGGCGACGCACGCCACGACAAUCGGUGGUUGCGACACCUCGGUUGCCUGUCGUGUGCGGUCGUCGCGCAUCGAGGGCUCGAAAAAAUUGCCGGGCUUCGGCUCGACUUUCAACGCGACCCCAGGUCAGGCGGGGUUACCCGCUGAAUUUAAGCAUAUCAAUAAGCGGAGGA